CCUACGGGGCGCAGCAGUGAGGAAUAUUGGUCAAUGGACGAGAGUCUGAACCAGCCAAGUAGCGUGAAGGAUGACUGCCCUAUGGGUUGUAAACUUCUUUUAUAAAGGAAUAAAACGAGGCACGUGUGCCUUUUUGCAUGUACUUUAUGAAUAAGGAUCGGCUAACUCCGUGCCAGCAGCCGCGGUAAUACGGAGGAUCCGAGCGUUAUCCGGAUUUAUUGGGUUUAAAGGGAGCGUAGAUGGGUUGUUAAGUCAGUUGUGAAAGGUUGCGGCUCAACCGUAAAAUUGCAAUUGAUACUGGCAGUCUUGAGUACAGUUGAGGUAGGCGGAAUUCGUGGUGUAGCGGUGAAAUGCUUAGAUAUCACGAAGAACCCCGAUUGCGAAGGCAGCUUACUAAACUGUGACUGACAUUGAUGCUCGAAAGUGUGGGUAUCAAACAGGAUUAGAUACCCCAGUAGUC
rnacentral:rRNA from 1 species